AUGGAUAAGUGGGAGCCCUGCCCACUCCCCCACACUCAUUCACACCAAACAGCACAACCCCGACACGCCGCCGUGCACACGCACACACUCUUGCGAACACGGCCCCGGGGACAGAAGGACACGCCGCCCACGCACGCUCGGACGCACGGCCGCGGACACCCUCAGACUCGCACGUUCACACGCGCCCCGACCUCACGCGUGCACACCCGCCCGCGCUCCCCCGCAGAGCCUCGGGUGCGCGCGCGGGCACGCGCCCCCCUGGGCCCUGCUGCGGGUGACGGCCCCGCGGCCCGGCCCCCGCCCCUUCCCCGGCCCGCGCCGGCCCGAUCGGCGGGUCCCGGCCCCAGGCACUCACCGGUGCGCGGGCGGGCUCGGCUGCGGCCGGCGGGCGGGCGGCUGGCGGAGCGGCGGGUCCCACACGAGUUGGCGGCGCGGCGUCCGCACGCUCGUCCGCUCGGUUCCGCCGCCGCCGCCUGCGCGGGCGCGCGCGCGCGCUCCCGCCCCUCCCCGCCGCGGGGCCGCGCCGCCCCCUGCGCUCGUGCGCGCUGCCGCCACGCAGGCUGGGGGGCGCCCCGGCGGCGCCCUCCCCGGGCCCGGAUCCCCCCACUGCCCCAGGCCUUUCGGACAGCUAGUGCUCCCCUCAGCCCAGGCCCCCCUCCCCAUUUCAAAGAUGGGGAAACUGAGGCCCAAGCUCACACAGUGAGUCAGGCCCAGCAUCUCCCCGUUUUCUUGGGCUCCGGAAGUGUAGGAUCAGGGUCUGCAAUGGGCCAGCCCCGGGGGCCCCUCCCACGCACUUUUGAGUACCCAUCACCUAACUCUGCUCCCAUCACAGCCCCGGGGAUACUGAAAUCGGCCAACCAACAAGCGCUUAUUUUGUGCCUGCUGAAUGCGGGCGCUGAAGUAGGCUCCGAACGUAACCUCGAUGUGCUGAAGGCUUUGCUCCCCGUCCUCAAAGCGCCAACGUCUCCUCAUCUGGCGCUCGCCACUUCCUGUGGACCCCAAGAAUGCAAGUGA
rnacentral:lncRNA from 1 species